AAAAGAUGGUACCGUACUGAUAUCAAAAAUAUACCCGAUUUGAUAAAUUUAGUACCGAUACCUAGUACCAUUUGCUCACCCAUAGUGUUGUGCUCCUAUUACUGCAUAUUCUCUUUUUACUAGUAGGUGGGUCCUGGUUUACUACCCGGAGAUAUAGAAGGAGCAUAUUUGUGAUUCUAGGCUGUAUUUCGAUGGGGAAUUCCAACAGGGGCGGAACUACAAGGGGGUCAGGAGGGUUUGUUGACCCUCCGACGACGGAAACUUCCAUUAUCGCAAGUAUCUACCAAAGUUGGGUUUUAUAUACCUUGACCCCUUGAAUUGUUCCGAUCAAAUUAGUUAACUAGUUAUAGUAAAGAAAGAAAGAUGAAAAUAGCUUGGUCUUCUGGGAACAAGGGCGGCGAUAAUCGGAGUUACAGUCGAAGGAUAAUGAAGAAAGAAGGUAGAAGAUGAUCCAGGCAGGCCUAUAUCUAUUUUAAAUGAUAAUUUAUCUUCUUUUUGAAAAAGAAAAACCCUGCUAAAUGGUAUAGUAACUUUUAAGUACUUUCUGUACCUUACAGUAACUUUUAUUUUUUUAUUUUAAUUUAUGUUUUAGUUUU